AACGAACGCUGGCGGCGUGGAUAAGACAUGCAAGUCGAACGCGAUUUUUCCGGUUAGCAAUAACUGGAGAAAUUGAGUGGCGAAUGGGUGCGUAACACGUGGGAAUUUAUCCGGAAGUGGGGGAUAGCUUGCCGAAAGGCAAAUUAAUACCGCAUAUGCCCGUAAGGGCAAAGUGGGGGACCGCAAGGCCUCACGCUAUCGGAGGAGCCCGCGCCCUAUCAGCUAGUUGGUGAGGUAAUGGCUCACCAAGGCUUAGACGGGUAGCUGGUCUGAGAGGACGACCAGCCACACUGGAACUGAGACACGGUCCAGACACCUACGGGUGGCAGCAGUCGAGGAUUUUUCUCAAUGGGGGCAACCCUGAAGGAGCGACGCCGCGUGGAGGAUGAAGGGCUUCGGCUCGUAAACUCCUGUCACCGACGAACAAGGCAUCCGGAUUAAUAAAUCGGAUGCUUGAUGGUAGUCGGAGAGGAAGGGGCGGCUAACUCUGUGCCAGCAGCCGCGGUGAUACAGAGGCCCCAAGCGUUGUUCGGAUUUACUGGGCGUAAAGGGUGUGUAGGGGGUCGGGUAAGUUUGACGUGAAAUCCCGUUGCUCAACAACGGAACUGCGUCGAAUACUGCUCGGCUGGAGGUUCGGAGAUGAGGGCGGAAUUCUCGGUGUAGCGGUGAAAUGCGUAGAUAUCGAGAGGAACGCCGACGGCGAAAGCAGCCCUCAAGACGAAAUCUGACCCUGAAACACGAAGGCCAGGGGAGCAAACGGGAUUAGAUACCCCGGUAGUCCUGGCAGUAAACGGUGCUCAUUAGAUGUAGGCGGAUUCGACCCCGCCUGUGUCGAACCUAACGGAUUAAAUGAGCCGCCUGGGAAGUACGGUCGCAAGAUUAAAACUCAAAGAAAUUGACGGGGGCCCGCACAAGCGGUGGAGUAUGUGGCUUAAUUCGAUGCAACGCGAAGAACCUUACCUGGCCUUGACAUGCUUAGUUCAAGCGUGGAAACACGCUG
rnacentral:rRNA from 1 species